rnacentral:rRNA from 1 species
UCCACGCCGUAAACGAUGGAUACUAGUUGUUGGGCAUUAGCUCAGUGACUAAGCGAAAGUGAUAAGUAUCCCACCUGGGGAGUACGGUCGCAAGACUGAAACUCAAAGGAAUUGACGGGGGCCCGCACAAGCGGUGGAGCAUGUGGUUUAAUUCGAUGAUACGCGAGGAACCUUACCAGGGCUUAAAUGUAGUCUGACAGCUUUAGAGAUAGAGUUUUCUUCGGACAGAUUACAAGGUGCUGCAUGGUUGUCGUCAGCUCGUGCCGUGAGGUGUCAGGUUAAGUCCUAUAACGAGCGCAACCCCUGUCGUUAGUUGCCAGCAUGUAAAGAUGGGGACUCUAACGAGACUGCC